rnacentral:snRNA from 1 species
UCGCUCUGGCCCCUCACAUAGCGAACAAAUCUUUCGCCUUUUACUAAAGAUUUCCGUGUCGAGGGGUCGCUAAUGAGUACUGUUUUUUCAAUUUUUGUGCGGCCAGUCUAACGACUGGUCU